GACGUAGGGUGCGAGCGUUGUCCGGAUUUAUUGGGCGUAAAGAGCUCGUAGGCGGCUCGUCGCGUCGACCGUGAAAACCCGCGGCUUAACUGCGGGCUUGCGGUUGAUACGGGCGGGCUAGAGUUCGGUAGGGGAGACUGGAAUUCCUGGUGUAGCGGUGAAAUGCGCAGAUAUCAGGAGGAACACCGGUGGCGAAGGCGGGUCUCUAGUACGGUACUGACGCUGAGACGCGAAAGCGUGGGGAGCGAACAGG
rnacentral:rRNA from 1 species